rnacentral:rRNA from 1 species
AUUGAACGCUGGCGGCAGGCCUAACACAUGCAAGUCGAACGAGUGGCGGACGGGUGAGUAAUGUCUGGGAAACUGCCUGAUGGAGGGGGAUAACUACUGGAAACGGUAGCUAAUACCGCAUACCAUCGGAUGUGCCCAGAUGGGAUUAGCUAGUGGGUGGGGUAAAGGCUCUCCUAGGCGACGAUCCCUAGCUGGUAUGAGAGGAUGACCAGCCACACGGGAACUGGGAAACGGUCCAGACUCCUACGGGGGGCAGCAGUGGGGAACAUUGAACAAUGGGGGCAAGCCUGAGACAGCCAUGCCGCGUGUAUGAAGAAGGCCUUCGGGUUGUAAAGUACUUUCAGCGGGGAGGCGUUACCCGCAGAAGAAGCACCGGCUAACUCCGUGCCAGCCGCCGCGGUAAUAC